AAGGACCUGCAAGUCACUAAUGUGGGAUUCACCCAAGCAGCAGAGACAGUUGGCAGGCGGGUCACUUCUGGGCAUGGAACGCCUGAAAGAGUCGCACGCUUUAAGCCCUGGGGCACAGGACGUGCCCCAGCCCGAAUGCUAACUAACUGAACUGAAACUAAUGAACACAGGUCACCCCUUCAGAUAGAGGCGUUCUAGAUUGGGAUGGAAGAUUUGGCCUGUGUCCUGCAAGAGGAGGUGUAGAGUCAACUGUACAGUGAUUGGUGGACAGACUGCCAUGUGCAUGAAGUAUGGGUACCAAGUCUGACAUGGCCAUGUUGAGGCUAUGAGAAUGACCGUGGCUUGUUCCACCUGAUUUUGUGAAGCACUUCAAACAAUAAAGCCAUAUAACCAGUACAUCCCAUCUAAUGAGGAAGGCGUCCCUCAGACAGCUGACCCAGUGAGUCCACCAUGGUGUUCUGGUGUCCAGAUAGGUAAGAGGUUAAACUGUUGAUGUCAUGUCGGAUACACCAAUUCCUCAAUUUUAGUGCUUCUGAGCACAAGUUUUGGGACCUUUCUCCCCUUUGUCUGUUACUAUAAUAUGCAGGCGACAUUGUCAUUACUCUUGCCAUCCUUUAAAGUGCUGGUACGUGUUGCAGUCUGCAUGUAAUUCUCACCAGUUGAUAUGCAACACCAAUUCUGAAGGAGCGCACCUGCUCUGUACUGUGUGGGUCUGUAGCCAUGCUCCCCAAGCACAGGAGGUGUGGGGGCAGGUAAUUGGUUGUGAGUAUCAAGGACAGUCUGUGCUCUUCCUUUGGUAAUUACUGAUUAUCCAGUGACAGGUACCGGAUGCUGCAGGGAUUGGUGUGUGCCUAGUGCUAGCCUGAACAGAGAAAGCAAGGUCUGCGGCGCCCUGGAAGGUAUUGUGCGUGUGUGGGGCGGCCAGCAGCACAGGCUCUUGGUUUCAGGGAGCUGAGCUACAAUAGCCAUAGGCAAGAUUGCUUCUUGCUAAGGGUAGAUAGUGGGCCUCAAAUUUGGAGGCAGAUAAAUAAUAUCUGCUAUAGUUCUUCAGCUGCAGAAACUACUGCACAUGCUGAGGCUGGGAGACAUUACUGCAGUUCCAGAAACACGUGGUAGGAAGAAUGAUGGGGAUGUGUGGAGGGAGCUUAUUUCAUUGAGCUGCUCUUCCCAGUUAGCUUAAGUUCCUUUUCCCACCAGCCUAAUUGCACUGUCAGACCUUUCCCAGGGUCAGUCAGUUUGCACAGCUUCAUGUGCGCUGGAGUCACAAACUGGGCUCAGAAUAGGCUUCUUAAUAGUAAGCAGUAAGCAAAACCUGCAUAUACAUACUGAAAAAAGCAAAACCAAGGACUGGAAAGAGAAGAUAACCUGCUUAGAACUGAAUCCUUCCAUACUAGGAGAUAAGGGGCAGCAGAUUUUCCCCCACAGCUUCAGAGGAAACCCUCCCCCAGUCCGUUUAUAGAGACGUGUCUUCAUGAGCUGUGUAGCUUUUACACAGAAUAUGCUGGCUGACAGAAAAGAGCAGAAUUCCAUGCAAUCUGGCUCACUCAGAUCUCUGCUUCCUGGCCAGUCUACUGCUCUCCAGUUUUCUUUCUAGUUGUCUGUUUUGGGCUCUUCCAUCUCCAAUUGCUUUGGACUAUUUGUCUGAUAUCUCCAGUCUCCCCCCCCCCCAUUAUCUCCUUUUUGUCACCUUUAGAAUCCUGCAGCUAACAUUACUUACCCAAAACCAGUGAGAUCUAUUUUUGUUUUCCUAAUAUGCUACAUUUCUGUGGAAUAUGCAGUAGGAGGACACAAUCCUAAAAGUAGCACCUGUUCAUUACCAAGGCCUUUCCCAAAAGGAAUCUCAUUCCAUCCAUAAACUAAACCUCCAUUUAAGAAUUGCUGAUUUACACAUAUUUACAAGGCUGCUGCGGGUAGAUUAGGCACUCAUUUCUUUCACAAAAAUCAUUCUAAGUGUCUUUAUGUAUUUUUCUCUGAACAGUGAAGCUGGCCAACUUAAAGAAAUUGCAAGAUCUUUAAUAUCAGAGCUACCAUUUGAUUCUUCAGGGAAAAGAGGACCAAAAGAGGCCAGGUUCCCUCCAAAUGCCUUUUAUGUUGCUUUGUCACAGUGUUAUCUUGUUUUACAAGUGCUCUGUUUACGAGAAUGCCGUGAAGAAAAAUGUUCAUUUAAGUUCCGUAAUCACAUAGGGCUACUUUGUAAGCCAACAGAAUACAGCCUCAGCAGCUGCUUGCCCACAAAACUUUGCAAUUGUGGAGACUAAUUAAGAUUCUUCAGAGGAAGUUCCUUCUCUUUGCAGAAUGCCUUAUUAGAUAUUCUGUACCUCCCUUCUUCAGAGCAGAAUGUCUGACGGUGCCUGUUCUAAGUUUAUGGCUUAUGAAUUACCAAUUGAUUCCAAAAUAUCUCUGCUCUUUUCUGUGUCUGAAUAAAGUUGUUUCCUUUAAAGGAAACAAAAGUGGCAUUCUGCAAUUAACUACCAAAAGUCUAGCUAUUUAACUGUGUUAGACUGAACUUUUAAUUAGACAGCACAAUACUUUCUAACUCAUCUUCUCUAUCAAAGGCUGUUAGGAUUUGCAUGUCAUAAUGCAGAGGGUUCAAUAAAGGGGGAAUUAAUCAUGGCUUUCAGCUGAUGGUGGCUAAAGUUCAGGACAGUCUUGCCAGUUUGUAAGACUUGAUUAAAUUCAAGAGAUUUUUUUUUAAAUCAACAGAAGGACGUGUCAGGUCAAUUUGAAAACUAUUUUAUUUACAAGGCUGGAUACACUUAUUAAAGUAGUCGGUAUCUGUGACCAGUUCUCUUCACUGAUCCACAGUAACUACAGCAAAAUGUCCUCAAUAUCAAGCUUGAGCUAUUCCAAAUGUCACUCUUUAGUACUACUAUAUUCAGCACCUCCAUGAGGCAUGCAGCUAUUGCCCAUGGGACAAAACUUGAGUUUGUAAAACAAGUUGACACCAGUGCAUAGCCACAGUGGGGAUACAGGUUGUACGUCUGGUAUACUACUGUCUCUAGUUUUAAUAAAAAAAUCAAGUUUAUACUCUCACUUUUAUGACUACUCACUUUUCUUUACGCAUUUUUAUUCCUAUUUUGGGCUCUAUACAUUAGAUAAAACUUUUAUAAAAUGUAAAUAGUUACCUUUACCUUUUCUGCUGCUCAGCUUCAUCAGUUUGUGUUCUGUUCCAUACUGGCUUUGAAAUAGUCAAUGUAAAAAUAAAGCUCUUAAACUUAAAGGUAUGCCAAUUUCAGGAAGCAGCAAGGCAAGUGAUUAAUGUUAGACAUGGAAGACACCAUUUGCUACAAGCUUAUAUCUAUUACUAGGAUUUGAAAAGGAAGUAAGAGAUGUUAAAUAUGUAAACAAACUGCCAUGGUUCUAAUGUACAAAACUUCUAGCUGGUUUGUUUGUCUUUUACCAUCAAGUAGAUCAGUUUUGUUUUUCUGUUGACUGCAGUACGUGUUUAACUCUUGCCACAUUAUCUGGAUUUUUGGGGAAGUAUUUCCAUCUCCCCAAAUUUAGCAACUUAAAGCUUUCAUAUCACUUGCUGCACAAAAGUUAUACUGUAUUAUGUAGUAACAAACACUUAAUUCUCUGAGAAUAUAAUGGAAAGUUACAUUCCUCACUGUUCAAAGAGGAUAUUCAACACAGGUAUUUUCUUACUUUGUUACAGCAACACUUAGACAACAUGGUCUGAAAUUAAACAAUGCUAUUCAGAGGAAAUUGAUCUUUUUUUAAAAUUGGGAUUUGACUAAACUAUAACAAAUUUCAACUUCAUUUAUAUUUCCUACUAGAAUGAUGUGUCUCAGAACAAGUAUCAAAAAAGAAAUUGUACUUUUAAAUCUCAACAGGAGGUUGAAAAUGCAACAUCGAUUUAUAGAUAUCACGAUUCUCACCCAAGUUGUUUUGCAACAAACCGCAAGACUUCACCACUACCACAACAAAAAUGAAGUGAGAAAACCACAAGAUUAGUCGUCCCUUCUUUUAUCUACAAAGACUUUUUCAAGCAAGCUUUCUGCUGCUGGAAUUCACACCUUCAACAUAUAAAAGAUCAAAGGUCAAAUGGGAUAAUUUCACCACUUGUCUGCUUUCCUUUUGUGGGCAGGUGGUUUGUGUGUGGAAUAUACCAAACAUUAGGACAAAAAUACUUGUGUGGAACACUUAUAAAUAUUUGCAAAUUUAAACUUAUAAAUUACCCAUCUUCAUAAUGCAAUCCAACUACUGUUGAGGGAAAAGUGGGAUUCUUAAAAGUUUCAGUUAGACACGCCAUUUUUAACCACAGCACAAUCUCUGCUGCAGGGAAUAUCAUUUCAGGCAGUCAGACACAACAGAAUAUUUGGAAGUGUUUGCAAAUUCAACAGGGGACUAAGUCAUCCAAAUUUGGACUGGCAAACUCCAAACUAGCUAAUAGUUUUCUUUAUUCAGAUUAGACAUAACAAAUAUCAGGUACAGCAGUUAGUCUAAAAAAAUACAUUUAAAAAUCUUCGUAGACCAUGCUCCCUAUAACAAUAUUCUUCCAAAACCAACUUUAUUUUACAAAUUAAUCUACAUUAUUAAUGUAAAAAGAAAUUCUCAAAUUUAGCAUUAUGUCAUUAUUUCCAAACAAACAUCUAUUGGAACGUUUCCAUUAUUUGCAAAUGUUAGAAUCUGUAAUACAUUUCUCUAAUGUAUCCUGUACAUAUUAAAUAACCUAAAAGGCUCCUCUUGUAGUGCAUUAACAAUUCAGCAAGCACACAGUAUUUUUCCAGUACCAUUUGCAUUACAAUUAUUUGCCUGCAAAUGUAAUUAACAUCUAAAAGUGCACGUUUAGUUUUUUGAGUAACCUGUUUAUCUGAGGAAACCUAGACCUCCACUGGAAGUGUUACUCUACCUGUAGCUAAUCUAACCAUGAUUAGAAAUGUGCAACUAGAAGGUACUUUGAGACUAUACAACAACUGAAUUAUGUACAUAAGCCAAAGGUCAUUCAGUCUUUAGCUUGUAUUUACAUCCAAAAAUGUUCAUUACCACAGGAUCAUACCGUGAACUCAAUACAGCAUUAGAUAAUGAUGGUAUUUAAUUAGAAUUGUUAACUGCAAUUCAGUAUAGCACAAAAUGUAGCCCAAGAAAUACCCUGAAAAAUGGAUGUGUGUAUUAAAUAAAACUCUAAUAUGUCACAGAACAAAUCCUCUGCUGGAUAUUCUUACAAAUUCAGUGUUUGAAAUAAUAGGAUCCUGCUCUAUCAAGCAACUAGAAGAUCCAGCAAGGAUGCUAUAUAAUACAGUUAAAAAAAAAGCCUCAAAUGAGGGAUUAUUUGAAUGACUGUAAACCACACUGGCCACUGUUAGCACUAGUUUAAAGACAGUCACACUACAUGCAGAAUCCCCGCUGACAGGAUCCACACGGGUUUCAGUACAUAAGCAUAGGAUGAAAUUUUAUUGUCACUAAAAGUAUUAAGAAACAUUUUUGAAGCCAGUUGACAGUGUUUUCCUCACUCUACCAAGUGGUGAACCUUUAAAAAAA